rnacentral:rRNA from 1 species
GAGUUUGAUCUGGCUCAGAUUGAACGCUGGCGGCAUGCCUUACACAUGCAAGUCGAACGGCAGCACGGGAGCUUGCUCCUGGUGGCGAGUGGCGAACGGGUGAGUAAUGCAUCGGAACGUAUCCUGGAGUGGGGGAUAACGUAGCGAAAGUUACGCUAAUACCGCAUAUUCUGUGAGCAGGAAAGCGGGGGACCUUCGGGGCCUCGCGCUCUUGGAGCGGCCGAUGUCGGAUUAGCUAGUUGGUGAGGUAAAGGCUCACCAAGGCGACGAUCCGUAGCAGGUCUGAGAGGAUGAUCUGCCACACUGGAACUGAGACACGGUCCAGACUCCUACGGAGGCAGCAGUGGGGAAUUUGGACAAUGGGGGCAACCCUGAUCCAGCCAUGCCGCGUGAGUGAAGAAGGCCU